UCGUCCAGUCCUUCCCGGGUCCCCUAGAGGUGUCACGUUCUAGGACAACCGGGACGGACAGGGCGACGCGCGCGA
rnacentral:pre_miRNA from 1 species